rnacentral:rRNA from 2 species
GAGUUUGAUCCUGGCUCAGAUUGAACGCUGGCGGCAUGCCUUACACAUGCAAGUCGAACGGCAGCACGGGAGCUUGCUCCUGGUGGCGAGUGGCGAACGGGUGAGUAAUGCAUCGGAACGUAUCCUGGAGUGGGGGAUAACGUAGCGAAAGUUACGCUAAUACCGCAUAUUCUGUGAGCAGGAAAGCGGGGGACCUUCGGGCCUCGCGCUCUUGGAGCGGCCGAUGUCGGAUUAGCUAGUUGGUGAGGUAAAGGCUCACCAAGGCGACGAUCCGUAGCAGGUCUGAGAGGAUGAUCUGCCACACUGGAACUGAGACACGGUCCAGACUCCUACGGGAGGCAGCAGUGGGGAAUUUUGGACAAUGGGGGCAACCCUGAUCCAGCCAUGCCGCGUGAGUGAAGAAGGCCUCGGUUG